rnacentral:rRNA from 1 species
CCUACGGGAGGCAGCAGUGGGGAAUAUUGCACAAUGGAGGAAACCCUGAUGCAGCGACGCCGCGUGAGUGAAGAAGUCUUUCUGUAUGUAAAGCUCUAUCAGUACGGGAGAAAAUGCCGGUACCUGUAUAUGAAUCACCGGCUAACUACGUGCCAGCAGCCGCGGUAAUACGGAGGGGGCAAGCGUUAUCCGGAUUUACUGGGUGUAAAGGGGGCGUAGACGGGUGCGCAAGUCUGGAGUGAAAUCCCAUGGCUUAACCUUGGAACUGCUUUGGAAACUGUGCAGCUGGAGAGUAGGAGAGGUAAGCGGAAUGUAUAGUGUAGCGGUGAAAUGCGUAGAGAUCAGAAGGAACACCGGUGGCGAAGGCAGCUUACUGGACUGUAACUGACGUUGAGGCACGAAAGCGUGGGGAGCAAACAGGAUUAGAUACCCGUGUAGUC